AGAAUCAAACUGAUAAGAAACAGAUGAACAGGAGAAAAUAAAAUAUAGUUUUGUCUAUAUGGGAAUCCCCCCAUACAGGAGAGGCUCAGAGACCUAAAGGCCAAAUGAGGUAUAUGCGCUGUCCUGAGCUAAGGAAUGGGGUAGGGACCUGGGGUUUCAGAGGGCAGGAGGAAAAUUCACAGGGCAAUAGGCAGAGCAGAUGUUUGCUCCGCCAUAGCUGAUGGGCCAUUCAGAUAAAACUUUCCUCUGGUAGAAAUUCCCAUUCUGGGAAAGACGCCCGCAAUUUAGAUUCUUCUAGUUAGUUAGGAGCGGAGUAAAUGUUUCUCUUGGGCCCACAGGGUCUUUACUGCCUUCAGCUCAAAAUAGUCCGUGUGCCGUAGUGGGGAAUUUUGGGGAAGCCAGUUCUGAACCCCUUCCCAUUUCUCAGCCGCAGCUGAUAAUGCGGAAGGCCAAGAUCCCUCCGGUGCUGGACGGCCUUCUUUUGCUGAGCCUGGCAUGAGGUCCACAGCCUUGCAGUGGGUGGGUGUUUCUUCCAUCAGCUGGAUGAGGGGAGAAGAUUUUGUCUUCAUUGCUCACUGAUGAAUCCCAUGCUGAGCCAGAGCUCUGCCCAGCGCUCUGGGCGACACGGUGGCAGGGCUGCAGGACUGCAGGAGAGCAGAGCAGAGGCUGGAGUGGUGGCAGUGCCGAGGACAGAGGCCCAGAGGACGGCUGUGCAGGACGACUGUACAGGCAGAGGCCCGGAGGAUGGCUGUGCGGGAU